rnacentral:lncRNA from 1 species
ACUCAAGAAGUCCAGGCAGGUCCCUCAGAAAUUUGUCCUAUUUUGAAAAAUGGUAACAAGGGGCCAAACGCUGGUUGCAGUGGUCAUGAUACUCAAGACAUGGUGUAUGGAUCUGUAACAUCAGAAUCAUCAGGACCUUGCUAGAGAUGUAGAACCCUCAGUGGUACUUGAGAUCUGCUCAGUCUGAGUACCCUUCUUCCCAACAUCCCAUACCCCUGUGUCACUGCAAUUUGCCAAUCUGCGGUGAGGGAUCCAGUGCCGCCACUGAAUAAAAACACCAGAUAACUACAAGAUGGCUGACCAAAAAGUGUAACCAUCUGUGAGUGUUCUCAACUUGGUCCUCUUACCAGCUCUUCUUCCUCUACAGUGCCUUGAACAUCAGCUUGGGUGGGACAGGCAAGUUCACUGUGCAGAUGGCACUGUUCCAGAACCCUACCUACACACAGCCCUACCAAGGUCCUUCUGUGAUGCUCUCCACUGAGGCUUUUCUGUAUGUGGGCACCAUGCUGGAUGGGGGUGACUUGUCCCGGUUUGUACUGCUAAUGACCAACUGCUUGGAACGAUCCAGUUUAGGGGAGAGGCAUGGUCAGAUUUUGGUUUCAGAAAGAUGACUUUGACUAUGCAGGGAAGCUUAUCUCAGCUUCCUUGGAAGUCACAUGCCUUACUUCUCAUGGAUCUUUCUGUUUCUCCCAAAGGUGUCCAGGCCUCAGUGUCCAAGGCUGCUUCCAGCAACUUGGGGUUCCUGAGCAUCUGGCUGCUGCUGUUUCUCUCAGCUACUUUGACCCUGAUGGUUCAUUGAUGGAAAACAGAAAACCUGGUGUGGCUCCCAGUUCACUUCCUGCUGGCCAGGAGUGGGGAUGCAGGCUGGUAAGCAGCCAGGAGAGAGGGAGCUCACACUGCCUCCAGCUUGCACUUACCCUUUUCCUUUAACCCUCACCAUCAAAACCGAGUUGAUAUCUUUCAAUGCUGCUGAUUCUUCAACUGGAACUUGUAAUGUGUCUGUACAUGAAGCCCCUGUCUCUUUAAGGAAUGUAUCAAAAUAAUAAGUUUAAA